CUUCUUCGAGUCCCUCAGCGGCAGCGCAAGCCCCCUCCAACCCUAUCCCUCCGCCGCACCAGGCCGAUGCCGCCGCCCGCCGAUGAUGAUUGGCGAGCUCCUAGAGGAUCUACUCCUUACUUCCUUAGACAGUAGCCGCUGAUACAGCACGCCGCCCGCCCGACCGCGAACCCCCUUGCAACGGCGACGUAUCCAUGACCACGGUGAUCACUUUGGAGCUGUAGCCAUUUUUUUGCGACAAAGCUGUAGAAGAAAUUUAGAUGCCAAACCAGAUCAAGUUUGAGAUCCAGUGAUGGAGGGGAGCAGUGCGACGUUGCCUUUAGUAAAGCUGAUAGUUCCAAUUAUCUCAGCAUGUGCACCAGCACUAUCAGCCAUGGAAUUUGUCAGCAGUGCUCAAAAUCAACAUUAAUUCCUCAAUGCUUCUCAUUGAUGAUUCCAGUAUACCGAAAAAGAAACAAUCAUUCUCUCAAGAGGACAAGAAGCUCGAUGAACAAGAAGCAUUGCAUCUAGAGGCAACUGUCGUGUGCCAUCAAGAUAUCAACGUUGAUGCAAUUUUUAAUGGCAAUUCUUGUUGAGCAAUGAUUAUUAUACUCCUUCAGACUUAGCCUUGCCCGUUAUGUACCAAAGCUGAUG
rnacentral:rRNA from 1 species